AUUGAACGCUGGCGGCAUGCUUUACACAUGCAAGUCGAACGGCAGCACGGGAGCAAUCCUGGUGGCGAGUGGCGAACGGGUGAGUAAUGUAUCGGAACGUGCCCAGUCGUGGGGGAUAACGCAGCGAAAGCUGUGCUAAUACCGCAUACGAUCUAAGGAUGAAAGCGGGGGAUCGCAAGACCUCGCGCGAUUGGAGUGGCCGAUAUCAGAUUAGCUAGUUGGUGGGGUAAAGGCUCACCAAGGCGACGAUCUGUAGCUGGUCUGAGAGGACGACCAGCCACACUGGAACUGAGACACGGUCCAGACUCCUACGGGAGGCAGCAGUGGGGAAUUUUGGACAAUGGGCGCAAGCCUGAUCCAGCAAUGCCGCGUGCAGGACGAAGGCCUUCGGGUUGUAAACUGCUUUUGUACGGAGCGAAAAGGUUCUCUCUAAUACAGGGGGCUCAUGACGGUACCGUAAGAAUAAGCACCGGCUAACUACGUGCCAGCCGCCGCAGUAA
rnacentral:rRNA from 1 species